CCCUAUGGGGCGCAGCAGGCCCAGAUAACUGAUACACAAACCUGGAACCAGGAAGAAUUAUUCCGGCGCCUGAAGCGUAUUGCCAGGCUUUCUGACAAUUCAGAGAUCAACCAGGAGCUGAGCCACAGCCUGGAAAACAUGCGCGAACUGCUGGGGGUUGAAACGGUUUGUUUAUACCAGGUUGAUCCGGCUUACCCGCAGCUAAAGCGCAUUGCCCAAACCGGUGAGAUAGCUGCCUUUCCAGAGAUCCUGCCUUCCACUGACCUGGUAAGGCUUGAUAUCACCACUUUCUGGGAGAAUGGUCAACGGGUGUUAACCGAGUUACACCGCUUCGCGCGCAUCAACAAUAUCCGCAUGGUGUGUUCCACACCGUUGAUCCAGGGCGGGAGAGC
rnacentral:rRNA from 1 species